GGCGCUCGGCAUGGUACCACCGCAUCGGGCCAAUGUUUGUAAAUGCAAACGACAACAAUGCUCCGGUUGCUGUUGCCGCCUAAGCGGUACUAGCACCAAAGCGAAAUUCCGGUUGCCGGGAGCGGUAAUUUGGUGGGGGACGGGGCACCUAGCAACAGAACGCCCCACU
rnacentral:tmRNA from 1 species